ACGCCUGCCCGGUGCUGGAAGGUUAAGAGGAGGAGUUAGCGGGGAGACCUGCGAAGCCCUGAAUUGAAGCCCCAGUAAACGGCGGCCGUAACUAUAACGGUCCUAAGGUAGCGAAAUUCCUUGUCGGGUAAGUUCCGACCUGCACGAAUGGCGUAACGAUUUCCGCGCUGUCUCAACCAGUGGCUCAGCGAAAUUGAAUUCUCGGUGAAGAUGCCGAGUACCCGCGGCAAGACGGAAAGACCCCGUGAACCUUUACUACAGCUUGACAGUGACAUUCGGAAUAGUUUGUGUAGGAUAGGUGGGAGACUGUGAAACCGGGACGCUAGUUUCGGUGGAGUCAACCUUGAAAUACCACCCUGGUUGUUUUGGAUGUCUAACCCAGGCCCGUCAUCCGGGUCGGGGACACUGUCUGGUGGGUAGUUUGACUGGGGCGGUCGCCUCCCAAAGAGUAACGGAGGCGCGCGAUGGUUCCCUCAGGCUGAUUGGAAACCAGCCGUAGAGUGUAAAGGCAUAAGGGAGCUUGACUGCGAGACGGACAUGUCGAGCAGGUACGAAAGUAGGUCUUAGUGAUCCGGCGGUUCUGUAUGGAAGGGCCGUCGCUCAACGGAUAAAAGGUACUCCGGGGAUAACAGGCUUAUCUCCCCCAAGAGUUCACAUCGACGGGGAGGUUUGGCACCUCGAUGUCGGCUCAUCGCAUCCUGGGGCUGAAGUAGGUCCCAAGGGUUUGGCUGUUCGCCAAUUAAAGCGGUACGCGAGCUGGGUUUAAAACGUCGUGAGACAGUUUGGUCCCUAUCUGCCGUGGGCGCAGGAUACUUGAGAAGAGCUGUCCUUAGUACGAGAGGACCGGGAUGGACGUACCUCUAGUGUUCCAGUUGUUCCGCCAGGAGCAUUCGCUGGGUAGCUAUGUACGGAAAGGAUAACCGCUGAAAGCAUCUAAGCGGGAAGCCUCCUUCAAGAUAAGGUAUCCCCGGGAGCAAUCCCCUGAAGGCCCGUUGUAGACCACAACGUUGAUAGGCCGGGUGUGUAAGCACAGCAAUGUGUUCAGCUUACCGGUACUAAUCGGCCGUGAGGCUUGACCAU
rnacentral:rRNA from 1 species